GACGGAGGGUGCAAGCGUUAUCCGGAAUCAUUGGGUUUAAAGGGUCCGCAGGCGGACUUAUAAGUCAGUGGCGAAAGCCUACAGCUUAACUGUAGAACUGCCAUUGAUACUGUAAGUCUUGAAUAUGGUCGAAGUGGGCGGAAUAUGACAUGUAGCGGUGAAAUGCAUAGAUAUGUCAUAGAACACCGAUAGCGAAGGCAGCUCACUAGGCCAUUAUUGACGCUCAGGGACGAAAGCGUGGGGAGCAAACAGG
rnacentral:rRNA from 1 species